rnacentral:tRNA from 1 species
GCUAUGAUGGUGCAGUGGUUAAGCACUCAGCUGCUAACUGAAAGGUUGGUGGUUCAAAUCCACCCAGUGGCU